rnacentral:lncRNA from 1 species
GUCCCAUUACUUAAAAAAAAAAAAAAAUCUGGGCACCCAUGUCUUCUCCCUCUUCUCCCUUCUCCGGUUGCAGACCUGGGAAUCUGGGAUUUGUUGUAGAAGCAGAGUAGUGGCACAAAAUUCUGAAGAAACUGCUCGUCAAGCAUGCCAAGCAUCAGACACGGCGUCAAGGCAGAGCAUGUAAAUAUGGAACAAUUCGGAGGCAAGUCUGUCAUCUAGCUUUGAAGGAUCGGCCAGUCAAAUAGUUGGAGAUAAGGUGACGAAUCCUGACGGAUUCUAGCUUAAAGAGGAGACUUUCAGAGGUUUCGAUGGAGGAGGCAGGUCUAUCGCUUCGCUUAGCCACAGAUCGGUGUUAUAGUCGAAGUCGGAGUCUAGGUAUUUCAAGGCGCAUCGAAGCUUAGAGAGAGAGACCAGAUCGGAGGUCACAUCUGGAGGAAGCCGUCGGCGGCCGCGCCGGCAAUGAUGGAGUUCCACGGGUAGGCCCCUUCUACAGGAGAGAGAGAGAGAGAGAGAGAGAGAGAGAGAGAGAGAGAGAGAGAGAGAGAGAGAGAGAGCAGAUGGGCAUGAUAGUAGUUGUUUAGUUAGGAUGACGGUAAAAUUGAAAUUUUCCUCUAAAUUGGGUUAGUGGGAAUAAAAAUUUGUUGCUGGGGUAAGUGAGAUAGUUUUGGCUUAUUUUGGUGCUUUUGGUCAAUGACCCUUUUUCUUUUUCUUUUUUCUUUUUUCUGGACAAUACUUUGCUAACCAUAGUUGAUUAGCAAAGGCUGACAUUAUCCAAUGAUAAGAGGACAUCCGUCCUUUUAGAGCCAUCAAAUGCAUUUUUAUAUAUAGCCCAACAUGUGAACAUCACAUGCGGAUCACUAGCUAGCUUUUAAAAAAAAUUCUAAAAGGACAAAUGUCCUCUUAUUAUUGGAUACGGUCAGCAUUUGCUAACUAGCUGUGGUUAUUGAAGUAUUGUCUUUUUUCUUUUAGAGUACUUCUACAUAUUUUCACAAUUUAACAUGUGGACCUCAUUAGAU